rnacentral:rRNA from 1 species
UACGUAGGGUGCUAACGUUGCUCGGAAUCAUUGGGCGUAAAGCGUGGGUAGGCGGAUUGGUAAGUCAGAUGUGAAAUCCCGGGGCUCAACUCCGGAACUGCAUUUGAUACUGCUAGUCUUGAUUUCAGGAGAGGGGAGCAGAAUUCCUGGUGUAGGAGUGAAAUCCGUAGAUAUCAGGAGGAAUACCGGAGGCGAAGGCGGCUCCCUGGACUGACAAUGACGCUAAUCUACGAAAGCGUGGGUAG